UACGUAGGAGGCGAGCGUUGUCCGGAAUUACUGGGCGUAAAGAGCGCGUAGGCGGCGCGAUACGACCGAUGUGAAAGCCCCCGGCUCAACUGGGGAGGGUCAUCGGUAACGGUCGUGCUAUGAGUGCAGGAGAGGGAAGUGGAACUCCGGGAGUAGCGGUGAAAUGCUUAGAUAUGACAUAGAACACCCAUUGCGAAGGCAGCUCGCUACACUAUUAUUGACACUGAGGCACGAAAGCGUGGGGAUCAAACAGG
rnacentral:rRNA from 1 species